UGCCAGCAGCCGCGGUAAUACGGAGGGGGCUAGCGUUGUUCGGAAUCACUGGGCGUAAAGCGCACGUAGGCGGGUCAGUCAGUCAGGGGUGAAAUCCCGAGGCUCAACCUCGGAACUGCCUUUGAUACUGCUGGCCUUGAGGUCGAGAGAGGUGAGUGGAAUUCCUAGUGUAGAGGUGAAAUUCGUAGAUAUUAGGAAGAACACCAGUGGCGAAGGCGGCUUUCUGGACCAAUACUGACGCUGAGGAGCGAAAGCGUGGGGAGCAAACAGGAUUAGAUA
rnacentral:rRNA from 1 species